GGCGGAGACUAAGAGGAGGAUCUUUGACACCAGGGGCCAUGCAGUGCGGGUUGCCACCACCUGUCACUCUUGGCCCCCGUUCAGAGGACACGGCAUUCUUCCCACGGCCUGACAUGGGGUAGAAUGGCGUUGGAACCAUUAGGAAGAAAAAGGGAGGGGGCAUCUGGGCCCUGGGAGCAGGCUAUGGCCAUGAUACGGGAAGGGGCUUCAAGAAGAGGGGCCUUUGGGCAGGCUGAAGGGCAAGACUAUGCCCAGGCCCAGGAAUGGCUCUGCCCACCUCUAUGCCAUACCUCUCUGGGUUUCUAGGAGCUUGGGGAGAACCGCCGUGAUCCCAGUGCCCAGCCCUGUGCCCCAGGUAUCCGGAUCUACUCAGACCAUCUCUGGGGUUCAGCAGGCAACAUUCCUCUUCCAGGAAGCAAAAUUAAGCAAUGUCUGUGGAGCCCUUACCCAUGAGGGGCUGGUCUGGGUGUGAACCUAACCUCACCUAAGAAAAACGUCCAAGUUACCUGUGUGGGAAACCGAAACUCUCAAGGACACAGACUGAAGGAAUAAGGAAACAAGAUGGCCAUGGCCUCUCCACCUUCCUUAACCCCCCCCCCGGGGGGAAGGCAACAGAGAUUACCAUACUCUGUCCCACUCGGCCCUUGCACAAAGUUAUAUCCCCAUGAUCAACCAGGUCACCCCAGCAACGGCCAGGUAUCCCCAGCUCCAGAGGUGAGCAGCUGGCACAGCAGCGGAGACAUACAGAGGGCAAGCUUGGAGAAGGAUCAGGACAUGGGGAGAGAAGACAUCAAGUGACCAGAAAAAAAUGAGAGCUCCAAGAACGGACAACCAAAUCUGUACCCCAAGGAUGGGUCCUGUUUUUUGUUUUGUUUCUUACGCUCCAUAUCCAAACUCUUGGCAAGAAAGUACAUUCGGAGGGGCUGGAGAGAUGGCUCUGGUUAGGCACACAUACUGAUCUGGCAACAGACCCACGCCAUGGAUGCCGAACUGCAACUCCAGCUCAGGGGAUCCUUUGGUCUCUCAGGGGCCCACACUGAACAUUAAACAAAAGCACUCAGAAUCCAGCUGUGCUUACUAUCUCCUCGACAAACUCAAGCCCAAGCUGCAAGUCAGUUCCUUCCUGGACAGCUCCUCUUCGGAAUCCCCAGGUGACGGCUCUUCAGAAAUGUGACAGCAAGUACAUGGAUUUGCUUAACACUGUAUUUAUUACUGGGUUCCCAACAUUGCACAGGAAUUCGCAUGUAAGGCGCUGAGGGUCCCUGCCCCAGUUGGUUUUGAUUGGUAAAUAAAGGUGCUAAUGGCCGAUGAAUGGCUGGGCAGGGAGAAAGAGGCGGGGCUUCAGAAUUCUCUAGCAAGGGGAAGGAAGAUUGACAACCACCUUGGCGGGAAAGGUGAAAGAGCAGGCCUGAGAAGUGCAGGACAGACAGACAGCCAACAUGUAAGAGGUGGGAAAGAGAGGCCCCAGGGACCCCACUGGGUCUAGGGAAGCCAGGAUGGAAUAUAGAUUUUAAUAAGUUAAUUGAGUUGGGGAUAUCGGAGGGGAAAGUGUGUUAACCGCAUGGAGGUUUAGGAGUGGCCCAUUAAAACAAAAGGUUGCGUGCGUGCGUGCGUGCGUGCGUGUGUGUGUGUGUGUGUGUGUGUGUGUGUGUGUGUGUGCAUGCGCACUGCCACAGCCAGGUUGAUUUGAGCAGGAUUAAGUAGCAACCACAACACGCAGGCGCCCAUAAUCUGUCUUCCUGAUUAAAUACAAACAAGUGUUUCUGUUGCUUUUGUUCUCACUGGCGUUGCAGAGGGUGGGACAGUGCCAAGCAGUGCACAUGUGUGCAGCACUGUGUUUUUGUGAAAUAAAAC
ensembl:lncRNA LOC102553350 uncharacterized LOC102553350